AGCGAACGCUGGCGGCAGGCCUAACACAUGCAAGUCGAACGAACUCUUCGGAGUUUGUGGCGGACGGGUGAGUAACACGUGGGAACGUGCCUUUUGGUUCGGAAUAACUCAGGGAAACUUGUGCUAAUACCGAAUGUGCCCUUCGGGGGAAAGAUUUAUCGCCAUUAGAGCGGCCCGCGUCUGAUUAGCUAGUUGGUGAGGUAACGGCUCACCAAGGCGACGAUCAGUAGCUGGUCUGAGAGGAUGACCAGCCACACUGGGACUGAGACACGGCCCAGACUCCUACGGGAGGCAGCAGUGGGGGAUCUUGCGCAAUGGGCGAAAGCCUGACGCAGCCAUGCCGCGUGAAUGAUGAAGGUCUUAGGAUUGUAAAAUUCUUUCACCGAGGACGAUAAUGACGGUACCCGGAGAAGAAGCCCCGGCUAACUUCGUG
rnacentral:rRNA from 1 species